UCUAGCUUGCUAGAAGAUGACGAGUGGCGGACGGGUGAGUAAUGCUUGGGAACUUGCCUUUGCGAGGGGGAUAACAGUUGGAAACGACUGCUAAUACCGCAUAAUGUCUUCGGACCAAACGGGGCUUCGNCUCCCGNGCCAA
rnacentral:rRNA from 1 species